CUAGGUUGGAAUGCAAUGGCACAAUCUCAGCUCACUGCAACCUCCACCUCCCAGGUUCAAGCAAUUCUCCUGCCUCAGCCUCCCAAGUAGCUGGGAUUACAGGCACGCACCACUGCACCCAGGGUACUUGGAAGAGCUGUCCAAUAAGGGUUAUAAAGCAUGCAGUAGUCCUUGGUUGUGCCAUUUCCAGACGCAUGCAAGAUUGCUUCCUGAGCGGCUGUCUAGGAGACAAACAAUAACUUUCAAACUUGCAAUGUUAUGGCUUGCCAACAACUAAGGAUUUUAAUAAAGCUAUUUAUAUGCA
rnacentral:lncRNA from 10 species